AGUGAACGCUGGCGGUAGGCCUAACACAUGCAAGUCGAACGGCAGCACAGUAAGAGCUUGCUCUUACGGGUGGCGAGUGGCGGACGGGUGAGGAAUACAUCGGAAUCUACUUUUUCGUGGGGGAUAACGUAGGGAAACUUACGCUAAUACCGCAUACGACCUACGGGUGAAAGCAGUGGAUCUUCGGACCUUGCGCGAUUGAAUGAGCCGAUGUCGGAUUAGCUAGUUGGCGGGGUAAAGGCCCACCAAGGCGACGAUCCGUAGCUGGUCUGAGAGGAUGAUAGGGCACACGGGAACAGAGACACGGGCCAGACCCCGACGGGAGGCAGCAUUAGGGAAGAGUGCGGAAGGGGCGAAAGCCGGACGGAGCAAUGCCGGGUGAGGGAUGAAGGUCGUCGGAUCGUACAACGCUGUUACGAGGAAAGAAAAAAAGUGUAAGUAACCAUGCACGUCAGGACGGGACGUAAGCAGAAAGCCACGGCUAACCACGUG
rnacentral:rRNA from 1 species